CUUGUCCAACGGGACAGCAUCGAUCACUCACCCGGGGAUGGGGACCUCUGCGGUCUAGGCUCAGGACACCAAAAAAGAUGUCGAGAUAAAAGGGAAAGAAGAGGUCAAAGUGGGCUGCUUUCCAAAACAUUUCUCUACCACGGUCCAAGAUUUGAACAAGUGGGAUCACAUUCUGCAUGUAAAAUUGCUCUAUGAAAUUAAAAUAUUUUAAAACAGAAGCAUAUUUAACGUACCAAUUUAAGCCAAAAAAUCUCUCUUAAUAACACUUGUUUUGUGCUGAACUCUUGUGAGAAGUGAGAAGAAACAGAAAGUAGAAAUUUAUUUUAGCUGUGGAUAGUACAUCUUUGCCUAAAGCGUAAUUGAGUAAAAAAUGCCUAGAAUUCAUAACUAGAAAUGUUUGUCUCCUCAAUGUCAAAAAAUUCCUUCUAAAAUAACAGAUUUGACACUAAAGUUUAAGAAUAAACUUUUAAAAAGACAUUUAAGUAUGCAUACCCUGAUAAGCUUAUCCUGACUCGCUUCCAUAAUCCCGUAUCUACACAGUUCCUUCCCUUGAACGCAGUAGCUGGCCUUCAGUUGGCCCAGGUAUCAUGCUUCUGAUUCAGGAGACCCUGCCAAAGAACUCCACCUCACAGCACAAUCACCUCGGGCUCAGAAUUAAGUUGCUAACUACCUAUGUAUCAGAGUGCAAUUCCUUUUAAAUAGCCCUUUCCCUUUCUUCUCCUUCUCCUACACUUAAAAAAAAAAAAAAAAAAAUCUGUCAGUGUAAUAGUUCCUGGGAGAACGCUAAGCAUGAGGUUGAUGAACAGAAAGGCACAGAAACACCACCCGCAUGCAAAAGUUAUCUGAACGGCAGAGAUAAUUGCUAAAGUAAUUAUUUUGAUAGAAGCCAGCUGAAAGCUUCUGUAGUGUAUUUUACUAUUCCCGUUAAGGGUAAACUAUCCAUUUCAGAUAUAUGCUAUCCACGAACAUAUUUACUGGAUGACAUAUUGUUUUCAAUUUCUUUUUGGAAAAAUAAUCAUAUCAAAAAGCAGGGACUUAAAGAGGACAGCCAGCUAAAUAUAUUUUUAACACAUACUUCUGAUUAUUGUACUAUCAUCUUAUAAAUGAGUGGCACUAUGUGAUCUUAUGAAGCAGUAUCUCCAGUCUAUAAAAUAACGCUGCAUUUAUAGCAAAGAGAAAAAACAUAAAGGAUAUUCUGGACUAUUCUAUGGUUAGCAUCAGCUUCAGCUCCUUGAAAUGGGUGGAAUUGAUGGACAAUGGAAUAGAAUGUAGUAUAACUACAGUAGCCUUGAGCAAAGACACAAUUAUAGCUGAAAAGCAUCUUAGAUGCCUGACUGUUGCUAGCAUCAUGGUAUAAAUCAACAGUUGCUUCUUUCCUUUUCCUCUGCAGCUUCCUCCCCUCCAAACUCAAAACACAGAAUCUUCCAGUAUCAAAAACUUAGUAAAAGGUCAUUUUGUUUUCCUCAAUACUAUAAAAAUAGCAUAACUGGAUCUGACAUCCAUAUGUAAAUCAGCUCAAGAAAACACUGAUUUUCCUUCACACUGAAUUAUUGUAUCUGUAUGAAAUGUUGAUACAAACAACAUAACAAACAAAAAAUACCAUCUCUGUGGUUUAAUCCCAAGAUGAAAUAAGAAACAUAGACAUAUUGAACAUGGUUACUGUCUCUUGGCACCAUCACUAAAGCAAACCAGUUCCUUAACUGAUAAGUACAUAAUUUAAUUAUGUUAAGAGUUAGGAAUGCUAACAUUCACUUGCAAGAAAAGGGAUUUAUAAAAUAUACAACAAGGUGUCAGAGAAUAUAUUGAUUAUUGAUAACUUAUUUAUACCGAUAUUUAACACAAAACAAAUGGGAGUAUGUCUCUACGAGACUGAGAAAGAACAAAGGAGACAUUAUUUAAAUGGUAGUGAUGUAAAUGGAAGUGCAGGUAGACCUAGCACUUCACGGUCCUCAAAAAGGUGUCAUAAGUCAAAGCGAUAAAAGUUGAAUUUGGUUUCACCCUAGAAAUAAUCUUAGCUUGCUAGAUUACAUUCCAGAUGAUUUCAUGCCCUGAAUUUUUUUAAAAAAAGAUAUGACCACAAGUAACAUGUUUAAUCAAAUAUUUAACGAACCUGCAUACUGAAUAGUAUGAAGCUUCCUGACGCACAACACAUUGACUGUGGAGGCAGCAUGGCUUAAGAGAAAGAGCUCUGGACUGUUACCCAGAAAACCGGCCUCUUGUCUUAAUCAUACGACACUGCUGGGAAACUUGAAGAGGGUCCAUAAUCUAGCCUAAGUCUCUGUGUCCUCAUCAAUGAAAAUGGCAGGGUUGGAGCAGAUGAUCUCUAAAAACCACUGUGACCUGAAAAUGUUCUCUGAGCCCCUCGAAGGUCAGAAGCACAAUGCCAUGUACAGGGCACAGAUGGAAGAGAGGGUGGUAAUGCUUCUCAAGGAGAAGAAUGGAGCCUCCCUGAAUCUAAACAGAUUUCAAAAGGCACAGGAAGAGGAAAGACGCUGAGAAGAGGAACUACAUAAGGGGAGGCAUGGCCACCAGAGACUGUGUGGCACUUGGAAACAGAGAAGUGCCCUGCUGCCAUCCCAGAGUGAACGUUGCAUUUGCUUUUGUUAUAACAGGACCACUCUUGAGGCCAGAUAUAUGCUUAAUGCAAGCGUAUUUUAUAGAGAAUAAAUACUAUUUUCUCAGGUUUAAAAGAACAAACCUGAUGGUCCUAGCCAAGAGGCCAAUUGACGAUUUACAUUCAUAUCAUAAGCCUGUAAGCCACACUCUCCGUGUCUAUAUAGGCUAUAGUCUGGGUAGCACCUGUAACAAUGCUUGGCACACACUUGGUGAAUAUUUGUUGAAUAAAUAAAAGAAAAAAUAUAGAAAAGCAUAUACAAUUAUCUUUAAUAUGACUCAGUGUCAUGUAGUACAACACAGUACCUUACUUCAUCAUUCCUGCCAUGGUCUUUUGUUUGUUUGUUUUGUAUUUUUUAUAGUAUCACUAAAGGGGAAGGCAGCUCCUUAAGGUCUAUAGUGAUCACAAUCUUCUGGUAACCUAUUGGAGCAAAAUAAAUGCUUUCUGAGAAAUCAGGAGUUUUGCUUCACCAAGCUCUUAUUUCAGUGUAAAUUUCUUCCUAAAAAGGAAAGCCUCAGAGACCAGUUUUGCAUCUCUCAACUGGCUCUGAGAGUCUGUCAGCUUUUUCAGGCCACCAUCUCAUCGAAACCAGCAGCUUCCCCCUGCACUCUGAAGUCACACCAGGCACAACCCCUGUCUCCUGGAGAGAAUACAGGUCACUCCUCCAACUCUUCCUUCUCAACACCAAAAGCCUCAAGGGUUUGGCUUGAAUCAUGGCCAAACGCCAUAUGAGUUGUAGCUACUUAUUUGCUUGUUCAUUACACUUUAAGUUGAUUUGUAAGGUUAUCCUAUAUGGAAAUUAACACGCACCCCCGACGUCAAAACUCUCAUUUGAUUUCAAAUACCCAAUAGCAAGUCUUUUCAUUUCAGCCAAAGGUCCUACAGCAUUCAAAUGAUGACAGCAGCUCUUAGAAGUGCACUGUGACUUCCUCUUAUCAGUCAUUUAAGAACUGAAUACACUAUGUAACUAUGAAAUGAGAAAUUACGUUGUAAACAAGAUAGAACCAGAAGCCUUGAAGAAAG
rnacentral:lncRNA from 1 species